AGUGAACGCUGGCGGUAGGCCUAACACAUGCAAGUCGAACGGCAGCACAGUAAGAGCUUGCUCUUACGGGUGGCGAGUGGCGGACGGGUGAGGAAUACAUCGGAAUCUACUUUUUCGUGGGGGAUAACGUAGGGAAACUUACGCUAAUACCGCAUACGACCUACGGGUGAAAGCAGGGGAUCUUCGUACCUUGCGCGAUUGAAUGAGCCGAUGUCGGAUUAGCUAGUUGGCGGGGUAAAGGCCCACCAAGGCGACGAUCCGUAGCUGGUCUGAGAGGAUGAUCAGCCACACUGGAACUGAGACACGGUCCAGACUCCUACGGGAGGCAGCAGUGGGGAAUAUUGGACAAUGGGCGCAAGCCUGAACCAGCCAUACCGCGUGGGUGAAGAAGGCCUUCGGGUUGUAAAGCCCUUUUGUUGGGAAAGAAAAGCAGCAGGUUAAUACCCCGCUGUUCUGACGGUACCCAAAGAAUAAGCACCGGCUAACUUCGUG
rnacentral:rRNA from 1 species